ACCACUGAGCUAAACCUCCACAGGUGAAUAAACACACAGAGCAGGUUUAUCAAGCUCGUUUUAAAGCUGCUCUGAACCUGAAGCGGACCGGAACCUGCUGCACACACAGCAGGUGCUGUUACUGAGUCCACAGGUGUGGAAGCAGAGGACAGCGGCCGUGGUCUGAACCUCGGGGAACGCUGGACACGAACCCGGUGAGGAGAGAGAAACUUAUGAUCGUCAGGAAGUCAGUAAGUGGAGUUCAGCAGCAGUCUGAACCGCUGGGAACUGAUCAAUAACCCCCACAGACCCGUUUCUAGAACCUACAGCCCACUGUAACGUGUCUGUAACACGGUUCUGUAACACGGUUCUGUUGGUGCCGCUCUGUGUUCGGCUGGUCUCAGCUUCUGGUCGGACUGCAGUGUGCAGAGUCCUACAGAUGUGUUGGUCGUGUUGACUGAGAUCGAUGUUGGACUCAGUAAGGAUCAAUACAUGAUAAAGAGACAGACCCACAGAACAGGGGACGGUUCUGCUGGGCUGAAGGACGGAAAAGACAGAGAACCACCCGGGUUCGACCCAGUUGACGCGCUGAGGCAGUCUGGCUAAAGCCGCGGAUCAAACCACUGAGCUACAUCUCUGCCGUGAGCAGGCGGAACAGCAGCGGUGAUAAAGUUUAGGAGACAGACCCACAGAACAGGGGACGGUUCUGCUGGGCUGAAGGAGGGAAAAGACAGAGGACCACCCGGGGAGGGAUCCGUGCUCCGCGGACGGUCUCUCGCGUUUCCGGAUCGCAGCCCACUGAGCUACAUCUCUGCCGUGUGCAGGUGGAACAGCAGUGUUAUUACAGGUGAACAGGUGGACUUCUGGACAGGUGUGGCAACUCAGAUAGCGUCUAAGCCACGCCCCCUUCCGGUUUGGCCAGCGCUCUAUUG